rnacentral:rRNA from 1 species
UACGGGGGGGCAAGCGUUGUUCGGAAUUACUGGGCGUAAAGGGCGCGUAGGCGGCCUGCUAAGUCGGACGUGAAAUCCCUCGGCUCAACCGAGGAACUGCGUCCGAUACUGGUGGGCUUGAAUCCGGGAGAGGGAUGUGGAAUUCCAGGUGUAGCGGUGAAAUGCGUAGAUAUCUGGAGGAACACCGGUGGCGAAGGCGGCAUCCUGGACCGGUAUUGACGCUGAGGCGCGAAAGCCAGGGGAGCGAACGGG